rnacentral:rRNA from 1 species
GGCGCCUCAAGUGGUAGUCGCUUUUAUUGGGCCUAAAACGUCCGUAGCCGGUCUGGUGCAUUCGUGGGUAAAUCAACCCGCUCAACGGGUUGAAUUCUGCGAGCACGGCCAGACUUGGGACCGGGAGAGGUGUGGGGUACUCUCAGGGUAGGGGUAAAAUCCUGUCAUCCUGAGAGGACCACCUGUUGCGAAGGCGCCACACUAGAACGGAUUCGACGGUCAGGGACGAAACCUAGGGGCACGAACCGGAUUAGAUACCCGGGUAGUCCUAGGUGUAAACGCUGUGGACUUGAUGUUGGGGGUGCUCCGAGCACUCUCAGUGUCGAAGCGAAGGUGAUAAGUCCACUGCCUGGGGAGUACGGUCGCAAGGCUGAAACUUAAAGGAAUUGGCGGGGGAGCACUGCAACCUGAGGAUUGUGCGGUUUAAUUGGACUCAACGCCGGAA